CAGCAGCCCAAUUAAUCUUCUUAUCUGAGUAUGAUUCUAUAAAAAUUUAGAAACUGCUUUCAAUAAUGAUGCCAUUCCAUGAGCCUUAAGAACAACUGAGGUCAUUAUAGUCCCUCAAAAUGGCUACAAUA
rnacentral:snoRNA from 1 species